rnacentral:rRNA from 1 species
CCCGCUGAACUUAAGCAUAUCAAUAAGCGGAGGAAAAGAAACCAACAGGGAUUGCCUUAGUAACGGCGAGUGAAGCGGCAACAGCUCAAAUUUGAAAUCUGGCUCUUUCAGGGUCCGAGUUGUAAUUUGUAGAAGAUGCUUCGAGUGUGGUACCGGUCUAAGUUCCUUGGAACAGGACGUCAUAGAGGGUGAGAAUCCCGUAUGUGACUGGUCGCCUUCGCUCAUGUGAAGCUCUUUCGACGAGUCGAGUUGUUUGGGAAUGCAGCUCAAAAUGGGUGGUAAAUUUCAUCUAAAGCUAAAUAUUGGCCAGAGACCGAUAGCGCACAAGUAGAGUGAUCGAAAGAUGAAAAGCACUUUGGAAAGAGAGUUAAACAGUACGUGAAAUUGUUGAAAGGGAAGCGCUUGCAACCAGACUUGCACGUAGUUAAUCAUCCGGGGUUCUCCCCGGUGCACUUGGCUACGUUCAGGCCAGCAUCGGUUUUGGUGGUUGGAUAAAGGCUUAGGGAAUGUGGCUCUCUUCGGGGAGUGUUAUAGCCCUAGGUGCAAUGCAGCCCACUAGGACCGAGGACCGCGCUUCGGCUAGGAUGCUGGCGUAAUGGUUGUAAGCGACCCGUCUUGAAACACGG